rnacentral:rRNA from 1 species
GUCCACGCCCUAAACGAUGUCUACUAGUUGUUGGUGGAGUAAAAUCCAUGAGUAACGCAGCUAACGCGUUAAGUAUCCCGCCUGGGGAGUACGGCCGCAAGGUUAAAACUCAAAGGAAUUGACGGGGCCCGCACAAGCGGUGGAGUAUGUGGUUUAAUUCGACGCAACGCGAAGAACCUUACCAGGGCUUGACAUCUGGCGAACGCCUUCGAAAGAAGGAAGUGCCCGCAAGGGAGCGCCAAGACAGGUGGUGCAUGGCUGUCGU